AGUCACUGACAUUAGAUACCCGGGUAGUCCAGGGUGUAAACGCUGCAGACUUGGUGUUGGAGGCCCUUUGGGGGCAUUCAGUGCCGGAGAGAAGUUGUUAAGUCUGCUACUUGGGGAGUACGUCCGCAAGGAUGAAACUUAGAGGAAUUGGCGGGGGAGCACCGCAACGGGAGGAGCGUGCGGUUUAAUUGGAUUCAACACCGUAAAACUCACCAGGGAAGACUGUUACAUGAAGGCCGAGAUGAAGACUCUGCUAGAUUUUCAG
rnacentral:rRNA from 1 species